rnacentral:rRNA from 1 species
GAUGAACGCUAGCUACAGGCUUAACACAUGCAAGUCGAGGGGUCUGCUUCGGCAGACGACCGGCGCACGGGUGAGUAACGCGUAUCCAACCUGCCCUUCAUAUUGGUAUAGCCUCCCGAAAGGGAGAUUAAUCCCGAAUAACAUACCAAAGUUGCCUGAUUUUGGUAUGAAAGCUCCGGCGAUGAAGGAUGGGGAUGCGUUCCAUUAGGUAGUAGGCGGGGUAACGGCCCACCUAGCCGACGAUGGAUAGGGGUUCUGAGAGGAAGGUCCCCCACACUGGGAACUGAGACACGGUCCAGACUCCUACGGGAGGCAGCAGUGAGGAAUAUUGGUCAAUGGGCGCAAGCCUGAACCAGCCAAGUAGCGUGAAGGAAGACUGCCCUA